AUUGAACGCUGGCGGCAUGCCUUACACAUGCAAGUCGAACGGCAGCACGGGAGCAAUCCUGGUGGCGAGUGGCGAACGGGUGAGUAAUAUAUCGGAACGUGCCCAGUCGUGGGGAUAACGUAGCGAAAGCUACGCUAAUACCGCAUACGAUCUAUGGAUGAAAGCGGGGGAUCGCAAGACCUCGCGCGAUUGGAGCGGCCGAUAUCAGAUUAGGUAGUUGGUGAGGUAAAGGCUCACCAAGCCGACGAUCUGUAGCUGGUCUGAGAGGACGACCAGCCACACUGGGACUGAGACACGGCCCAGACUCCUACGGGAGGCAGCAGUGGGGAAUUUUGGGACAAUGGGCGCAAGCCUGAUCCAGCAAUGCCGCGUACAGGAUGAAGG
rnacentral:rRNA from 1 species